AACGAACGCUGGCGGCGUGGAUAAGACAUGCAAGUCGAGCGGGAACUUUCGCUGUAGCAAUACAGUGAAAGUUCUAGCGGCGAACGGGUGCGUAACACGUGGACAAUCUGCCUUAAAGUGGGGGAUAGCUCGGCGAAAGCCGAAUUAAUACCGCAUGUGAUGAGAGACGACAUCGUCUUGAAAUCAAAGCCGGGGCAACCUGGCGCUUUUUGAGGAGUCCGCGGCCAUCAGCUUGUUGGUGAGGUAACGGCUCACCAAGGCUAUGACGGGUAGCUGGUCUGAGAGGACGACCAGUCACACUGGAACU
rnacentral:rRNA from 1 species